rnacentral:rRNA from 1 species
CCUACGGGAGGCAGCAGUGGGGAAUAUUGGACAAUGGGGGCAACCCUGAUCCAGCCAUGCCGCGUGAGUGAUGAAGGUCUUAGGAUUGUAAAGCUCUUUCGGCGGGGAAGAUGAUGACGGUACCCGCAGAAGAAGCCCCGGCUAACUUCGUGCCAGCAGCCGCGGUAAUACGAAGGGGGCUAGCGUUGUUCGGAAUUACUGGGCGUAAAGGGCGUGUAGGCGGCUUGCAAAGUCGGGCGUGAAAGCCCCGGGCUCAACCCGGGAAUUGCGUUCGAUACUGGCGAGCUAGAGUUCGGGAGAGGGUCGUGGAAUUCCCAGUGUAGAGGUGAAAUUCGUAGAUAUUGGGAAGAACACCAGUGGCGAAGGCGGCGACCUGGACCGAUACUGACGCUAAGGCGCGAAAGCGUGGGGAGCAAACAGGAUUAGAUACCCGUGUAGUC